AACGAACGCUGGCGGCGUGUUUAAGACAUGCAAGUCGUACGGGGAAUUUGAAUAGCUUGCUAAUUGAAUUCCUAGUGGCGCACGGGUGAGUAACACGUGAGUUACAUGCCCUGCAGAGGGGGAUAGCCCGCCGAAAGGCGGAUUAAUACCCCAUGGUCCCGCAAGGGUAAAGGGGGCUUCGGCUCCCGCUGCAGGAUUGGCUCGCGUCCUAUCAGCUUGUUGGUAAGGUAACGGCUUACCAAGGCAACGACGGGUAGCUGGUCUGAGAGGACGAUCAGUCACACUGGAACUGAGACACGGUCCAGACACCUACGGUGGCAGCAGUCGAGAAUAAUUCACAAUGGGGGCAACCCUGAUGGUGCAACGCCGCGUGGAGGAUGAAGGCCCUAGGGUCGUAAACUCCUGUCAUUUGAGAGUAAGACCUGGCGGUCAAUAGCCGACAGGGUUGAUAGUAUCAAAAGAGGAAGGGAC
rnacentral:rRNA from 1 species